AAGUCGUAACAAGGUUUCCGUAGGUGAACCUGCGGAAGGAUCAUUAAAAAUAUAGCAAACCGAGCGUUAGCGAGGUUUUGCGAUCAAAAUUGUAUUUAAAACCCAACUCUUUGAAUCAAAUAUAUAUUAUGUAUCAUAAAUAAAUAAAAGAUCACUUUCAACAACGGAUCUCUUGGCUCUC
rnacentral:misc_RNA from 1 species